CACCUGAAGACCGUGUCUUCCCGUCUCUGCCCACUUGACCCUCUGAUGCAAGCAAGAUGCCCAGAGAGAACUGAAAUGUGUGGUGCAGCGUAGAGCCACACUCAGGUGAAAUGAGCUGAGCCCUCGCAGGUUCAGCCCACAACCUUCGGAACCCUUCGCACUUUCUGUACUUCCUAUUGGCAGCGGAAAGGCUGCUUUCUCAGAUGACCUCUGAAGGUUCACGUUAACAACGGAGCACCGGUGGGUGCAUGAAGUCACUGUAUUUGGAUUUCUGUUAUGAAUGCACUCAAGUGCUGUGAACGGCAGGGAAGAAGUUGGAACAGAAGGACCUAUGUCUCCUGCUGCAGGCUGUGGCUCUCUGUGUGGAGAGCGUCCCCGCCGGCUCCCUUCUGUGUGCGUGCUGUGCUUCACGCGUGUUCCUCCUGCUGUAAGGUGCAUGCACAGAUCCAUAUGCACAUAUCCUUGUGAUUCAAAGGAAAAAGAAAUUAGUCCUAAAAGUCCGGGGCUGAAAGUAAGAGAGUAAGGCCUGGAGAGUCACUGCUCAGAACUUGAAUGAAUUACCAGUUUUCACCAAGUAACUGGCUGGCCUUCUCAGGCAGGCUCCAAAUUCCUGUGGAAAUGAAGACUUUCUUUCCUGGACUGGGCCUGGCAUUCCUGGGAAACAAUGGCCCUUUUCAAAUAGGCUCUGAAAUUUCGCAGGUGAAGGGAGAGGGGCAGUCAUUUGAUCCCACCCACAAGAAGCUGCUUAGUAUUUUAAAAAAUAAAGGCCAAGCCUAUCAUGGAAAUGGCAGGCAAAGCCGGAGAGGCUGAGAGCUGCAAUCUCACCCACAGCCUGCAGAGCCCUGUGAAACAGGAAUCGCUUUCUACGUCUGGCCUUGGCUAACACCACCGCUCUUUUUCUAGAUUUUAAGAGUCGAGGACAGGAACACUGACCUGGGUUUCACUUUGUAGAAUGUGUUACUGGAGAGGACUUAGGUUUUCU